GGAUUUAUGGCAGGGGAGAUAGCAUGAUCGAGAAGGUGGUUGUCCCAGGGUGAGGCUCCUCCAUUGCACUCUGGGUGUGCUGACACUUGCAAUUUCCCCAAAUGCGGGAAACUUGACUGCAUUAUUUGUGGAUUGUUGCCCAUUCAUCCUGGUGGACGAG